CCUACGGGUGGCAGCAGUGAGGAAUAUUGGUCAAUGGGCGAGAGCCUGAACCAGCCAAGUCGCGUGAGGGAAGAAGGUCCUAUGGAUUGUAAACCUCUUUUGCCGGGGAGCAAAAAGCGGUACGUGUACCGCAUCGAGAGUACCCGGAGAAAAAGCAUCGGCUAACUCCGUGCCACCAGCCGCGGUAAUACGGAGUAUGCGAGCGUUAUCCGGAUUUAUUGGGUUUAAAGGGUGCGCAGGCGGCGAGUUAAGUCAGCGGUAAAAUUUCGGGGUUCAACCACGACAAGCCGUUGAAACUGGUGUGCUAGAGUGGGCGAGAAGUAUGCGGAAUGCGUGGUGUAGCGGUGAAAUGCAUAGAUAUCACGCAGAACUCCGAUUGCGAAGGCAGCAUACCGGCGCCCAACUGACGCUCAGGCACGAAAGCGUGGGUAGCGAACAGGAUUAGAUACCCGAGUAGUC
rnacentral:rRNA from 1 species